AGUGAACGCUGGCGGUAGGCCUAACACAUGCAAGUCGAACGGCAGCACAGUAAGAGCUUGCUCUUACGGGUGGCGAGUGGCGGACGGGUGAGGAAUACAUCGGAAUCUACUUUUUCGUGGGUGAUAACGUAGGGAAACUUACGCUAAUACCGCAUACGACCUACGGGUGAAAGCAGGGGAUCUUCGGACCUUGCGCGAUUGAAUGAGCCGAUGUCGGAUUAGCUAGUUGGCGGGGUAAAGGCCCACCAAGGCGACGAUCCGUAGCUGGUCUGAGAGGAUGAUCAGCCACACUGGAACUGAGACACGGUCCAGACUCCUACGGGAGGCAGCAGUGGGGAAUAUUGGGCAAUGGGCGAAAGCCUGAUCCAGCCAUACCGCGUGAGUGAAGAAGGCCUUCGGGUUGUAAAGCCCUUUUGUUGGGAAAGAAAAGCAGCAGGUUAAUCCCCCGCUGUUCUGACGGUACCCAAAGAAUAAGCACCGGCUAACUUCGUG
rnacentral:rRNA from 1 species